GGCGGAUUCGAAGGUUUGGGUGAAAUUUGGCGAAAAUAUCACAGAAUUCAGCUGUUUUAAAGACUUAAAGAUGUGGAAGUGGGCAUCCAUCAUAUUAGGACAACAGCAAAACAAGAAAUAUACCUUUUAUAUGCAGAGAACAGCUGUAAUUUUACUUGCAGGCGAUUAAUGAGUUUUUAAGAGUUAAAUAUUUGAAAGUGGAAUCCAUCAUACACAGUAUAGAACUUUUAUAGCAAAACAAAGUUCCAUGCCUUUCAUAUGCAAAGAGGACAGCUGUAAUUUUACUUACUGGAGUUUAGUGAGUAAUU